GAUGAACGCUGGCGGCGUGCCUAAUACAUGCAAGUCGAGCGAACAGACGAGGAGCUUGCUCCUAUGACGUUAGCGGCGGACGGGUGAGUAACACGUGGAUAACCUACCUAUAAGACGGGGAUAACUUCGGGAAACGGAAGCUAAUACCGGAUAAUAUAUUGAAACACAAGGUUCAAUAGUGAAAGACGGAAUUGCAGCACUUAAAAGAGGGAUCCGGGCCUCAUUAGUUAUUGGGUAAGGUAACGGCUUACCAAGGCAACGUAGCUUAGCCGCCCGGAGAGGUGGUCCGCCCACUCGGGACCGGGGACACGGUCCAGCCUCCUACGGGAGGCAGCAUUAGGGAAUCUCCCGCAUGGGGCGAAGUCCGGCCGGGGCACCGCCGCUGAGUUGAUGAAGUUCUUCGGUUCUUAAAACUCUUUUAUUAGGGAAGAACAAAUUUGUAAGUAACUAUGCACGUCUUGACGGUACCUACUCAGAAAGCCACGGCUAACUACGUG
rnacentral:rRNA from 1 species